rnacentral:lncRNA from 1 species
AGGUGGAAUCAACGCAAACGGGGGCCCACAGAGCCCACAACCCAUUAGGGCGCGCCACAAGCCCGAGGUGCGCCCUGGUGUCUUGUGCCCUCCUCAAACGUCGGUUGAAGCCCUUCUUCUGGCGUAAGAAAAAUAAUUUAUGGAAAAAAAUCGUGUAAAAAUUUCAGCGCAAUCAGAGUUAUGGAUCUCCAGGAAUAUAAGAAACGGUGAAACGCCAGAAUCUGAGACGGGGAAGAAGCGCGAAAUAGAAGAGAAUAGAGAGGGAGAUUCAAUCUCGGAGGGGCUCCCGCCCCUCCGCCGCCAUGGAGGCCAUGGACCAGAGGGGGAACUCUCCUCCCAUCUAGGGGGAGGCCAAGGAAGGAGAAGAAGGAGGGGGCUCUCUCCCCCUCUCUCCCGGUGGCGCUGGAGUGCCGCCGGGGCUAGGAUCGUGACGGCGA